AAUCAACGCUGGCGGCGCGCUUAACACAUGCAAGUCGAACGAGAAAGGGAGCAAUCCUGAGUAAAGUGGCGUACUGGUGAGUAACACGUGGAUAUCUACCUCUUGGUGGGGAAUAACCUGGGGAAACCUGGGCUAAUACCGCAUAAGUUCGUGAGAAGAAAGGCGCAAGUCGCCGAGAGAGGAGUCCGCGGUCGAUUAGGUAGUUGGCAGGGUAAAAGCCUACCAAGCCGAAGAUCGAUAGCCGGCCUGAGAGGGCACACGGCCACACUGGCACUGAAACACGGGCCAGACUCCUACGGGAGGCAGCAGUGGGGAAUCUUGCACAAUGGGGGAAACCCUGAUGCAGCGACGCCGCGUGAGCGAUGAAGCCCUUCGGGGGUGUAAAGCUCUUUCGGCAGGAACGAUAAUGACGGUACCUGCAGAAGAAGCUGCGGCUAACUACGUGCCAGCAGCCGCG
rnacentral:rRNA from 1 species